UGGGGAAUAUUGCACAAUGGGGGAAACCCUGAUGCAGCGACGCCGCGUGAAGGAAGAAGUAUUUCGGUAUGUAAACUUCUAUCAGCAGGGAAGAAAAUGACGGUACCUGACUAAGAAGUCCCGGCUAACUACGUGCCAGCAGCCGCGGUAAUACGUAGGGGGCAAGCGUUAUCCGGAUUUACUGGGUGUAAAGGGAGCGUAGGCGGCAUGGCAAGCCAGAUGUGAAAACCCGGGGCUUAACCCCGGGACUGCAUUUGGAACUGUCAGGCUUGAGUGUUGGAGAGGUAAGCGGAAUUCCUAGUGUAGCGGUGAAAUGCGUAGAUAUUAGGAGGAACACCAGUGGCGAAGGCGGCUUACUGGACAAUAACUGACGCUGAGGCUCGAAAGCGUGGGGAGCAAACAGGAUUAGAUACCCUGGUAGU
rnacentral:rRNA from 1 species